rnacentral:rRNA from 1 species
UACGUAGGGUGCAAGCGUUGUCCGGAAUUAUUGGGCGUAAAGAGCUCGUAGGCGGUUUGUCGCGUCUGCUGUGAAAACUCGGGGCUUAACUCCGGGCCUGCAGUGGGUACGGGCAGACUAGAGUGCGGUAGGGGAGACUGGAAUUCCUGGUGUAGCGGUGAAAUGCGCAGAUAUCAGGAGGAACACGGGUGGCGAAGGCGGGACUCUGGGCCGAUACUGACGCUGAGGAGCGAAAGCGUGGGGAGCAAACAGG